GAAGCGCACCAGACCGUCGCUGGCACGAUAUCCCGAAAGGGUGUGCUGGAGGAACGUCCGGACUGCACAGGACAGCGUAGGAGGUAACACCUCUCCGCCGACAAGCCCGACGAGUUCGCUCGAAGGGCCCUAAGGUGAGGAUCAGAGCAACAGAGACGAGCCGAUUUAGUUCGGGUGAAACGGGCAAUCUCUACGCGCAGCAAUACCAAAUAGGCCAACGUUGACGUGGUUCCGCGGAGUUGGCGGGUAGGUAGCACCGAGCCGGGGGGUGACCCCCGGCCCAGAUGAAUGACGGUCACAUCCGGGGCAACCUGGAUGCACAAAAUCCGGCUUAUCGGUGCGCUUCACAC
rnacentral:RNase_P_RNA from 1 species